rnacentral:tRNA from 1 species
GGGGUUGUAGCUCAGUGGUAGAGCGCUCACCCAGCAAAUGUGAGGCCUUGGGUUAAAUCCUCAGCACCACA